rnacentral:ncRNA from 22 species
AUAAAUACGCAAAAAAUAGGUUUAUUUGUAAAGUCUUUUUUGAAAAAUUUAACUUUACAAUAAUUAAAAGGGAAGUGGGUGUGAGUCCCACGCGGUCCCGCCGCUGUAAUAGAGUAGUCUUUUCUAUGAGCCACUAGUUUAAAACUGGGAAGGCAGAAAAGAUGUUGAUACUUAAGCCAGAAGACCUGCCUAUUUUGUAACACCAUUA